UGUGUGUGUGUGUGUGUGUGUAUAAAUAACACAUGCACUGACUAGUUGCUGGACUUGGGCACCUGCUGAAAACACUGGAAGUGGCAUCAAAAUGAUUUACAAGAUUAUUUUCUCUGUUCUUCUUUACCUGGCACUGUCAGGAGCAGGAACAUUAAGUUUUAUUGGCAAGAGUCACAAAGGAGACAAUCCUCUGCUCAAUUAUGUGGUGAAGAACUCUUUAAGGGCGCAUCCAGUGCUGACCAAACUACAGCUGAGAACAAUGGAAGAUUCCUGGAACAGUAUGAUGGUGUCUCCAGAACAAGCUCAGUUCAUGGCUAAUUUAAUAAAACUGAUUAAAGGCAACAAAACCAUUGAAGUAGGCAUGUAUACAGGAUACAACACCUUGAGUAUGGCUUUGGCUAUUCCUGAGGACGGACGAGUGGUGGCCUGUGAAAUCAAUGAUGAUUAUGUGCAAAUAGCUAAACCAUACUUUAAAGAGGCUGGAGUAGAAAAGAAAAUUGAAAUCCGGAAACAAAUUGCACUCAAAACAUUGGAUGAACUCCUUGAGGCUGGUGAAGCUGAAACGUAUGACUUUGUAUUCAUUGAUGCGGACAAGAAAAACUAUGAUAAUUACUAUGAGAAAUCCCUCCAGCUCAUUCGUAAAGGUGGCAUAAUAGCUAUCGACAAUGUCCUUUGGGGAGGGAAAGUCAUAAACCCAGAAAAGGAUGAUGUCACCUCCCAGACCAUUGACCAGCUGAAUAAGAAACUCCACAAAGACCAGCGAGUGGAUCUGAGCAUGCUCACUGUGGGUGACGGUCUAACCCUGGCUAUUAAAUUGUAAUCGAAUCCUUUGCGAAAAUAAAUAAAUACAUAAAUAAAUAAAUAAAUAAAUAAAUAAAUUCAAGUUUAUUUGUAUAAUGCUUUUUAUA